rnacentral:lncRNA from 1 species
AUCAGAUGUCAAGUCUAUCUGUAUGAGUUUCCUCAGUGUUUCUUCAGAGCUUUUUGGAGGUCCAUCUACCUUGUCAAAUACUGACUMUGCCUGUUUGAGCUGAAUGAUUUCUUAGUUAUUGACAACUGCGUACGCUUGGGUGAACCUGGCUGGAGCACUCGCAAAUAAGGCKCAAAGAUCUGCAGCACAAGUUCUUCAGAGCUUGUCUGAGAAGAUCCUCAUCUGGAAGGCAAUCAGUUUGCCUGCUUUCUUCGACUGUUUCCUUCUAGCUAACUUGCCACCAAAAUGAAGUUAGACCUACAAAGGAGACAUUAAAUCAGAAAUGUCUCUACACUGAUAGCAAAUGUCUGCAAUAAGGCUAAUGAGCCACAAGACCUGAUUUUUCACCUAUCCKGGUGUUAUGCUGAUGUCAUUUAAUUGAUUUCAAUGGAUUACUCUGGUCAACGUGGUGUCAGGCUCAGAGCAUCUCUGUCUGUUUGCGAAGAGUUGCUACUGCUAUCUAAGCCCUGGGAUAAGGAGCCGAUCUCAGACCCUGUCUGUGCUGAACUGCUAAGAAGAGGAAGAGAAGAGGCAGAAGCCUCCGGCAUUUAUAGAUUGGCACCACCACGCCAAGCCYGUUCGUUGGCCGCUUCAGCAGGGAGGCGGAGGAGUGGAAAGGCUGAGGGUGCUGAGCACCGUUCCUCCGGGGCAGCCCCACGGUGUUGUGGUGAGGCCGGAGGUGAGGCUGGCAGGACCGGGUCGAUCUGUGGGUCCUGCAGCUCUCGCAGGGCUCUGGGGAGCAUCCGCUCCUAGAACUCAUGCCUGGCAAUUGCGUGCUGUUAGGGGACAGUGCUGCUAUCAGAAAGGAC